GUGAUGAGGAUGGUGGUGAUGAUGAGGAUGGUGGUGGUGAUGAGGAUGGUGGUGGUGAUGAGGAUGGUGGUGGUGAUGAGGAUGGUGGUGAUGAUGAGGAUGGUGGUGGUGAUGAGGAUGGUGGUGAUGAUGGUGGUGGUGAUGAUGAGGAUGGUGGUGGUGAUGAGGAUGGUGGUGGUGAUGAGGAUGGUGGUGAUGAUGAGGAUGGUGGUGAUGAUGAGGAUGGUGGUGGUGAUGAUGAGGAUGGUGGUGAUGAUGAGGAUGGUGGUGAUGAUGAGGAUGGUGGUGAUAUGUGAUGGUAAUGAUAAUGGUGAUGAUGGUAAUUAUGAUGGUGGUGGUGAUGAGGAUGUUGGUGAUAUGUGAUGGUAAUGAUGGUAAUUAUGGUGGUGGUGGUAUUAGUGGAGGUUGAUGAUAAUGGUGGACAGACAGGUAAUGAUGGUGGUGGUGAUGAGGAUGUUGGUGAUAUGUGAUGGUAAUGAUAAUGAUGGUAAUUAUGAUGGUGGUGUUAGUGGAGGUGAUGAUGGUGUUGAUAAUGGUGGACAGACAGAUAAUGAUGAUGGUGGUGGUAUGUGAUGGUAAUGAUGAUGGUCAUACUGCAUGAUAGUGGUGGUAUAUGACCGUGAUGAUGUGAUGGUGAUAACGAUAGUGAUGAUGGUGCUGGUGACGAUUGUGCUGAGGGUGAUGAUGGGUGGUAAUGAG